rnacentral:rRNA from 1 species
AGUGAACGCUGGCGGUAGGCCUAACACAUGCAAGUCGAACGGCAGCACAGUAAGAGCUUGCUCUUACGGGUGGCGAGUGGCGGACGGGUGAGGAAUACAUCGGAAUCUACUUUUUCGUGGGGGAUAACGUAGGGAAACUUACGCUAAUACCGCAUACGACCUACGGGUGAAAGCAGGGGAUCUUCGGGCCUUGCGCGAUUGAAUGAGCCGAUGUCGGAUUAGCUAGUUGGCGGGGUAAAGGCCCACCAAGGCGACGAUCCGUAGCUGGUCUGAGAGGAUGAUCAGCCACACUGGAACUGAGACACGGUCCAGACCCCUACGGGAGGCAGCAGUGGGGAAUAUUGGACAAUGGGCGCAAGCCUGAUCCAGCCAUACCGCGUGGGUGAAGAAGGCCUGCGGGUUGUAAAGCCCUUUUGUUGGGAAAGAAAAGCAGCAGGUUAAUACCCCGCUGUUCUGACGGUACCCAAAGAAUAAGCACCGGCUAACUUCGU